UACGUAGGGGGCUAGCGUUGUCCGGAAUCAUUGGGCGUGAAGCGCGUGUAGGCGGUCCGGUAAGUCCGCUGUGAAAGCCAGGGGCUCAACCCUUGGAUGCCGGUGGAUACUGUCGGGCUUGAGUACUGAAGAGGCGAGUGGAAUUCCUGGUGUAGCGGUGAAAUGCGCAGAUAUCAGGAGGAACACCAAUUGCGAAGGCAGCGCGCUGGGACGUUACUGACGCUGAGACGCGAAAGCGUGGGGAGCAAACAGG
rnacentral:rRNA from 1 species